CAGUAGCCGCGGUAACACCGAGGGUGCAAGCGUUAAUCGGAAUUACUGGGCGUAAAGCGCGCGUAGGUGGUUUGUUAAGUUGGAUGUGAAAGCCCCGGGCUCAACCUGGGAACUGCAUCCAAAACUGGCAAGCUAGAGUACGGUAGAGGGUGGUGGAAUUUCCUGUGUAGCGGUGAAAUGCGUAGAUAUAGGAAGGAACACCAGUGGCGAAGGCGACCACCUGGACUGAUACUGACACUGAGGUGCGAAAGCGUGGGGAGCAAACAGGAUUAGAUACCCCAGUAGUCCCUGUCUCUUAUAC
rnacentral:rRNA from 1 species